GAACUUAGUAGAUGUUUAGUUCUCUCGCAGGUGACCCAAGAGGCUGUGGCGUGUCACCAACAACAUUCAAAACAAACAAAGUGCAAUGCCCAACUUGAGCCACAGGGCAGCCUGCAGAUGAGCUGAAUAUACUGUACUGUACCUACCAUACUGCACACUACCAGAACCACAUCCACCCUCCUCUGUGCGUCAUACAACUAGUUAUCAUCCACUGAUCAAUGUGAGGGGCCGAUGUGAAGGGCCGAUGUGAGGGGCUGAUGUGAGGGGCUGAUGUGAAGGGCCGAUGUGAGGGGCCGAUGUGAGGCGCCGACGUGGGGCCAUGUAGUGUACAGUAUUUUAAGAUUAGAUUGGUUGGCAUUAGACAACUCCCUCUCUGGGUUCAACAUUGCUAGUGCAUGCAUGGCUUCUUACGGGCUGACAGGGUGACCCUCUCACCUGCUGAUGAAGCGUUGAUUGGGCAGACGGGUCAGGGGGGCCGGUAGCCCCGUCGCGCCUCCAUGAAGAAACAUGGAGGGGUUUUCAAAGGUGUGUGUGUGUGUGUGUGUGCGUGCGCGCGUGCGUGUGCGUGUGUGUGUGUGUGUGUGUGAAUGAAAGCACGCUGUUUACCACCCAACCCAUAAUUUGAAAGCUGACAGCAGCUUGGCUGCGAGGUGUGAGUGUACGAGGUUGCAGGGGACGGAGCGGGGGUUUGCAGUGGAUUGAGUUUCUCAGUCGGGGCUCUAACUAAGUCUCUGAAGCUCAGUAAAGGUUGACUAGGUUUACUGUUUGCGAUAUAUAGAGCUCGCUGUGGCCCUAGUGUUUGGUGAUGAGACCAAUGGCCACUUGGUACCAGCUUGUUGGAUCAUAGGCAAGCUGAGCGGGCUUAAAAGAUUGCAAGUUGAUGCAGUGAUAUUUUUAAAUCAAAGUUUUAUUAUCAGGUUUAGAUCUAACAGGGUUGAUUUACAGAUUCAGUGUGACUUCACCUUAUUUUAUUUACCAAAGUCUAUUUUCCUUCAUUGUCUAUAUAGAUUCCUGAUGAAGAUUUAUUUAAAUUGGUCUAGAUAAAAGUCCUACCCCUAACUACGUGAGGGUAACUAGCUAGAGACAGAAAGAGUAAGAGAGAGAGAGAGGGAGAGAGAUUCAGCAACACCUCUAGUCACUUUCUUAAAAUGAAACAAUGCUAUCAUCUGCUUCUGAAACCAUUGUGUGCAGCAGCGAUGUCGAAAAUGAUACAAAAACACCGGACGUAACUGUAGUUGUGUUGUCUCCCCAGAAGCUGUAACCGGUAUAUUGUACAUUUUGUGAAGCAGGCGUCUGGGCCGAUCCGGCAGUGAUGGUGGAAUUCCGCAGAAGACUUCUCUGUCUUCAGGAUUACCACGUUUCUUUCAUCUUUCAUUUUUCAAUUCCUCCUUAUCCUUUCAAGUCGCGAGGGGAGUUUGGCGUUUGGCAACUAUGUAUAUGACACAUCCUCAGGUGCCUUACGAUGUCACUCUUGCAGGUGAAGCGAAGUAGGCUGAGCAACGUGAAAUGUGGGGGGCGCAAAAACAAAAGAUAAACAAAUCUCCGAGGGAUUUGUCCACACAGGUUAUAACUCGUACUAGCAUCGCUAAAGGGCUUGGAAUCACGUUACUUCGACCAGAAAUUGAAAUUUCUAGUUGACUGGCUGCUCCACAUUCUAGCGUAAUAAGACUUCAGCACAAUAAAGGUUUAGGAAGAUGGGCAUUAAGGGUAUUAGCCUAUUGGAUAACAUGCAAGGAAUCAUGGGAUGUAUUCCUUUUUAUAUUUGGCUCACAUCUAUAUCUAUAAAUAAAUAAAUAUAUAUAGCUGUAUAUAUUAAUACAAAAUAAAGUCUCUAUAUCUACAUAUUAAUACUUUAUUAAGCUUUAUGGUUAAAGAUGGUGGAUUUUGUUUUGAUAGUUGUAACGGUAGUGAUCGUGAGUAUGAAUUACAAGAAAGAAAAAAAGAUAUAUAUAUAUUUGUGUAUACCGAAUGAGUACAGGGGCACUCAAGAUUCUGCAUGAGGACGUUGUUGUGUGUAUGUGUGCGUGCGUGUGUGUGCGUAGGCACGUGUGUCUGUGUGUGAGUGGAUGUGUUUGUGCGUAUGUGUGUCUGGGUGACUGAACAAAAAAUCCCAGAAUGCAACUGAAGUCAGGCUCUUUUCAGGCAGUUCAACAGUUGAUCAGAUAUUGAAACCACCCGACCGAUUUGUUCAGCCCAACGCAUUUCCUACAGACUAGCGGACAAAACAUUGACCUGCUGAAAAACAAAGUGGUGCAAUAUCGUGUCCAACAAUAUUAGGCAUGCAGGCGCACACACACAGAUAUUUACCUCACAAGUGCAGCGUGAAACAGGACGUAGGGUGUGUUUCUGACCUCACCACAGGAGCACUUGGUCACGCGUAUGUACUAUGCAGCACUUAAUCCCCUUGUCACAGCAAAAACUGCAGGCCCCCCCCCCCCCACACAGACGCCCGCUAUUAGGACCAUCACCAAUGACACUAGAGGUGUAGCUUCGGAGGGACACACACACACCACUGGAACCUUUUGUUAAGGUCGUCGUGGUUACCCUGAUGCUGAUUGUCCCUGAUCAGGCCAUCCUGAGGAUAACCACUAUGAUGAGAGAUCUCCAAAGGGAAAGGGAAGUUUGUGUAAUGGAGAUUAUCUCCGAUUCUCGGAGUGCUUUUUCAAGCAGUUUACUCUUAAAUCAAGUGGCUGUUGGCUCUUGGUAGGAAAAAAAGGUUUUGUGCCGUCUUUUGAUACGCUAAAAGUGAAAGCUCAGAGUGUAGGCCUACAUGCUGUUGAUUUGAUUGCUUUGCCCUGUGCUCCUCCUCAAUGUGCCACUCUGACCUUUAUUUUGACAAUCAGCUCACACUGUAAAGUAUAUUAUAUAUUCUCACACACAUUCAAAUGUCUAAUGGCAGCAGUAACAUCCUCAAAAUACAACUUCUAUAUAUUUAUUUCCUCUCUCUCUCUCUCUCUCUCUCUCUCUCUCUCUCUCUCUCUCUCUCUCUC
ensembl:lncRNA